GAUUGAACGCUGGCGGCAUGCCUUACACAUGCAAGUCGAACGGUAACAGGUCUUCGGAUGCUGACGAGUGGCGAACGGGUGAGUAAUACAUCGGAACGUGCCCGAUCGUGGGGGAUAGCGAGGCGAAAGCUUUGCUAAUACCGCAUACGAUCUACGGAUGAAAGCGGGGGAUCUUCGGACCUCGCGCGGACGGAGCGGCCGAUGGCAGAUUAGGUAGUUGGUGGGAUAAAAGCUUACCAAGCCGACGAUCUGUAGCUGGUCUGAGAGGAUGAUCAGCCACACUGGAACUGAGACACGGCCCAGACUCCUACGGGAGGCAGCAGUGGGGAAUUUUGGACAAUGGGCGAAAGCCUGAUCCAGCCAUGCCGCGUGCAGGAUGAAGGCCUUUGGGUUGUAAACUGCUUUUGUACGGAACGAAAAGCCUCUUUCUAAUAAAGAGGGGUCAUGACGGUACCGGAAGAAUAAGCACCGGCUAACUACGUG
rnacentral:rRNA from 1 species